CGGAUUCAUCCCAUAGUAUCAGAUUUUUUUACAAAAAAAGCUAACAGGUAGUAAAACACAUAAAACCCUCAUCAUCACAACAUUAACAUUUAACAAUAAACAAGAAAUAUAGCAUACCUUCUGCACUAAAAAACCCACCUAAAGCUAUUACGCAUAUACAAUUUCACACAUAUAUGUGUGCUUACCGCCAUUGAUGUUGAAACAGAGCUGAUAAGAAAACAAAAUAUGUAACUCCUAUUUUAGUAAGUCGUUUGUCAAAUAAUAUCUGACUUGGAGAAAGACGAGAUGGGAAACACCGGAAUUAGGUGAAAGAUGAAGACAGAGACAUUUUAGAUUGGUUUGACAAUGAAGUCUUCUGGAGUUGGAUUACUUAGAUUAGGGGAGAAACAGAGCAGAGGAUUUGAAAUCCAAGGGAUUGAUAAUCUAAAUAAAACGACCGCAAAAGCAUCGAUAAUCACGAUGAUGACAUCAAUCGGUAUCCGAGGUAUGCACCAGUAAUUGGGUUUGAAGUGUUUUUUUACCUAUCUGACUGGUCAAAUCAUUGCAUGUGUUUUGGAUUAUGGAGAUUUCUUUUUUAUUUCAAUUUCUUUUUUUAAGAUUUGCAAGUACUUAAGUGGGUAUGUUCUACACUUUUAAUUACAAGACUACCCUGCCAGAAAUAAGAGAACAAUUCUAACUAAUGAAUUAACAUGGUAAUAUGGCCAACUGGUCAAUACGGUGUUGACACACAGAGAAGAAGAUCACCUUCCGACUUGCGUGUCAAUAUUGUAUUGAUCAAUUGACUAAAAUUAAUUUUAUGUUAACUACUCCCAAUUAACAUAUGAAAACUUUAUUUUUUAGAGUAAAUAUUGGUAUUUGUACCAGAUAAAUUAUUUUACUAUUUAUUUAAAAAUGUAUUUUUGUGAUAAUAUUACAUAAGAUAUGUACUUCAUGAGAUUGUAAUGCCACUUCUAUACUUCAUUAUAAGGGUAUAAAUUUAUUGUAAUCAUCAUUAUUUUGAAAAUGUUAAGGUGACAAAAAUUGGUAUUAAGAAGAUGUGACAAAAUUCUUUUAUUUUGUGUUUUGUAUAAAAGGAUUUGGUUUUUAGUGAGUAUAAAAUGACUCAACGUAAUUAAAAGUUAUCACCACAAUUUUACUAGCAUAAACAUUACUAAAAUAUACCCUCAUUAAAUAUACAAAUCUCAACGUUUUAACAUCCAACGGCCUUAAAUCAAUUUAGGCUUCAACAUCCAACGAUCUAAAAUCAUUUGGGGCUUCAAUAUCCGACGGCCAAAAAUUUAUCUCUCAAAAUUUUAAACUCAUAUCUCACUCUCUCACUCUCGGUUCUCUCUCCUCACCCACGAACUAUGAUUUCUUCACUUCUUUGUCUCUACUUCUUUUGCUUCAAUGGCUAAUACAAAUAGAAGAAAGCAAAUGGAGGAAAGCUAAGCUCGCACUUGGGUUAAAUCUCUGUGUUUAUGUGCCGCAGGGUGGAACUAAAGAUGGCUCGCCGUCGGUGUCAAAGAAAUGUUCCGGUGCUGCUUUGCUUUCGUCGUUGGUU
rnacentral:lncRNA from 1 species